AGGAUUGUUGAAAUUUUAGUCUCCAGAUCUCAUUUUAGCAAGUCUACUCUUUUUCUCUAAAGCAGAUGGUUGUACUGGCGGCACAGCCUAACUUGAGGGAGACCCCGAUAUUUGAUCCCUUAAUUCAAGUUCCUUCCCUGCAGGAUGCAGCUGCUGUCGACAAAGAGGAGACAAUGGUGGUGGAGGACUCACCAAAAGAAAUGCAGAAAUGUUGUUACUUACCGGAACAUCACAGAUGCUUGCUUUUCAGUGGAAAGGAACAAUUUGGUGCUCAAAACCAAGAAAAAUGUAGAACAACUCAACCUUCUGAAACUCUUCACAGACUUCCUUUCCGCUUCAUCACUAUGAUUUUGAUCAUAGUAAUAAUAGUGGUUCCACUUUCUGUUACUUUGACAGUAAGAAAAGAAAGAACAGUCUCAGAAGUGCCUGUGCAACUCGCCUGCCCACUGCCGUGGAUUGGAUUUGGAAACAAGUGCUUUUAUUUUUCUGAAGAAACAGAGAACUGGACAUUCAGCAGGACUGUCUGUGACUCAUUGGGAGCUCAUCUUGUUCAGAUUGACACCUCAGAGGAACUCGUAAGAAUUGGACACCAGGGAGACAGUACAAGAAUUUUCCUGAGAAGAUACAAAGGCCCCGAUGACCAUUGGAUAGGCCUUCACAGGGAAUCACCAAGUCAAUCUUGGAAAUGGAUAAAUACUACUAGUGACAACAUAGUGUUUCAGGUCAGUGGAACUGGGGAAUGUGCCUACUUGAAUGACAAAGGCGUGAGCAGUGCCAGGAUUUACUCAGACAGAAAAUGGAUUUGUAGCAAACCCAGUGUCUCCACCUGUCAAAUUGCUUCAAAGUUAUGAGCAGAAAAGCUGCAUUGUGCUUGUUAUCUACAGUUGCUGAAUGCUUUUCAGCCAGUUGUAAAAGUAUUGGAGCCUGACCAGAGUCAUGAGGAAGUCCCAGGUAUUUCAGGUAUAAUAGCUGGAAGCUGCCAGAAACUCUACCACCAGCAACCUGCCUGGGACUUGUUAGAAAUGCAGAACUUCUAGAAACAGCCCAGAUGCAGUGAAUUAAAAUCGACAGUGUCACAAGAUGUCUACGCAAUUUGUGAGAUAUUAAAGCUUCCAACUGCAAUCAUGAGGGUCAGACUCCAUGGCUGGACAAUGCACACAGGUGGUGGAGAGAAGAGAAUUUUUGUUUUAUUAAAUUAUGGGGUCACACUCGGCAACUUUCAGGACUCACUCCAGACUCAGCACUCAAGAAUCAUCGUUCACAUCUUCUCAAGAUGGAGCCCCGGCGACACUGAGCAGCAACUAACAUGGCUCCGGGAUGCAGGACUGGGACAGCUCUGAACCACGGGGAGGCACUGGAGUGGGGCGGCGCCAGCCCAGCCUCCAUGUGGCCCCAGCCGCCGGAAGUCACGCCCCCGACCCACCCUCAGCGCCAUCUUGCCACAUUCAACAGAGAAGAAGCCGGGUGUUCUGGUGAGCAACGUGGCCGGAUAAUGCUCCGGACCUGAGACUGGGCCAGCAACACCGGGGAUCCAGACGGAGGAGGUACAGCCAGCACACCUUCUCCAGAUGUAGCCCCAGCGACACUGAGCAGCAACUAACACAGCUCCGGGAUGCGGGACUGGGACAGCUCCGCAUUAGCGGCUGCACAACCUUUUCUAAAAACUGAAAACAUACAAUCUUUUAAUGGAAAACUAAUUAUUAAAUGCUUCCUUGGUAGUAGGGCUGUCGUUCUUGGGGGGAAACUCCAACAACAAUAGUGAUUUUUGUGUUGAAAUAUGGAAAGUAAUCAAGGUAAAGAGAAAAUGAAGUGA